UGGCCUUGACAUACUAAGAACUUUCCAGAGAUGGAUUGGUGCCUUCGGGAACUUAGAUACAGGUGCUGCAUGGCUGUCGUCAGCUCGUGUCGUGAGAUGUUGGGUUAACGUCCGCAACGAGCGCAACCCUUUUCCUUAUUUGCCAGCGGGUCAUGCCGGGAACUUUAAGGAUACUGCCAGUGACAAACUGGAGGAAGGCGGGGACGACGUCAAGUCAUCAUGGCCCUUACGGCCAGGGCUACACACGUGCUACAAUGGUCGGUACAAAGGGUUGCUACCUCGCGAGAGGAUGCUAAUCUCAAAAAGCCGACCGUAGUCCGGAUCGCAGUCUGCAACUCGACUGCGUGAAGUCGGAAUCGCUAGUAAUCGCGGAUCAGAAUGCCGCGGUGAAUACGUUCCCGGGCCUUGUACACACCGCCCGUCACACCAUGGGAGUUUGUUGCACCAGAAGUAGGUAGUCUAACCGCAAGGAGGACGCUUACCACGGUGUGGCCGAUGACUGGGGUGAAGUCGUAACAAGGUAAGCGUAGAUGA
rnacentral:rRNA from 1 species